ACUACGGGUGGCAGCAGUGAGGACUAUUGGUCAAUGGUCGGGAGACUGAACCAGCCAAGCCGCGUGAGGGAGGCAGGUACAGAGUAUCGUACACCUCUUUUGUCAGUGAACAAAGACUGGGACGCGUCCCCGGAUGAGUGUACCUGAAGAAAAAGCAUCGGCUAACUCCGUGCCAGCUGCCGCGGUCAUACGGAGGAUGCGAGCGUUAUCCGGAUUUAUUUGGUUUAAAGGGUGCGCUGGCGUUCUGUUAAGUCAGCGUUCAAAGCCCGGGGCUCAACCCCGUCCCGCCGUUGAAACUGGCAGUCUCGAGUUGGAGAGAAGGAUGCGGAAUGCGCGGUGUAGCGGUGAAAUGCAUAGAUAUCGCGCAGAACUCCGAUUGCGAAGGCAGCAUGCCGGCUCCACACUGACGCUGAGGCACGAAAGCGUGGGUAUCGAACAGGAUUAGAUACCCCUGUAGUC
rnacentral:rRNA from 1 species